rnacentral:rRNA from 1 species
UACGUAGGGGGCAAGCGUUGUCCGGAUUUACUGGGCGUAAAGAGCGCGCAGGCGGUCGAUCAAGUCGCGUGUGAAAGCCCCCGGCUCAACUGGGGAGGGUCACGCGAUACUGAUCGACUCGAAGGCAGGAGAGGGUAGUGGAAUUCCCGGUGUAGUGGUGAAAUGCGUAGAUAUCUGGAGGAACACCGGUGGCGAAGGCGGCAUCCUGGACCAAUAUUGACGCUGAGGAGCGAAAGCCAGGGGAGCAAACGGG